GACGAACGCUGGCGGCGUGCCUAAUACAUGCAAGUAGAACGCUGAAGGAGGAGCUUGCUUCUCUGGAUGAGUUGCGAACGGGUGAUUAACGCGUAGUUAACCUGCUUGGUAGCGGGGGUUAACUAUUGGAAACGAUAGCUAAUACCGCAUAAUAGUAGAUGUUGCAUGACAUUUUCCUAAAAGGUGCAAUUGCAUCACUACCAGAUGGGCCUGCGUUGUAUUAGCUAGUUGGUGGGGUAACGGCUCACCAAGGCGACGAUACAUAGCCGACCUGAGAGGGUGAUCGGCCACACUGGGACUGAGACACGGCCCAGACUCCUACGGGAGGCAGCAGUAGGGAAUCUUCGGGAAUGGACGGAAGUCUGACCGAGCAACGCAGCGUGAGUGAAGAAGGUUUUCGGAUCGUAAAGCACUGUUGUAAGAGAAGAACGAGUGUGAGAGUGGAAAGUACACUCUGUGACGGUAUCUUACCAGAAAGCGACGGCUAACUACGUG
rnacentral:rRNA from 1 species